rnacentral:rRNA from 1 species
CAGUCGCCACGGGAAUACGAAGGGUGCAAGCGUUAAUCGGAAUUACUGAGCGUAAAGGGUGCGUAGGCGGUUGUUUAAGUCUGUUGUGAAAUCCCCGGGCUCAACCUGGGAAUGGCAAUGGAAACUGGACGGCUAGAGUGUGUCAGAGGAUGGUGGAAUUCCCGGUGUAGCGGUGAAAUGCGUAGAGAUCGGGAGGAACAUCAGUGGCGAAGGCGGCCAUCUGGGACAACACUGACGCUGAAGCACGAAAGCGUGGGGAGCAAACAGGAUUAGAUACCCCCGUAGUCCCUGUCUCUUAUAC